CUUCCCUCAACAAGUUCUUUUGUUGAUGCUGCACAGUCUCUUUUAGCCUUGCCUUGACUAAGGCUGUGUCAUGAGUUGACGAAGGAUCAAUCUGCAAAGUGUGAGAAACUUCUUAUCACCUAGGCCUACGACAAACUUGCCUCUUACCUUUUGCGUCUCAAAGUCACCUAUUAUGUAGCUAGCUCAUGCAAAGCAACCAUGCUGUCUCAUACACAAGGUUGCGAGAGUGCAUGAAGUAAGUUUCAAACUUGUUACGAUCAACCUAUUAAUUUUUCCAUCUGACGUGAUGUAAGGUUGAACGUCCUCCAACCCAUGGAGUAUAAGGGGAUUCUGACUAACUUGUCCAGGCUUGUCGUGAUUCCCAGACACAAAGAGAAAACCCUCGAAUUCUUCUUUCCAGACUUUUGUGACAUCUUCCUGUUUCAAGGGAAAUUCCUCGGUAACAGAAUGAAGCAGACCUAUCCGCUUCAUUGUCCACUUUAUUGUGUUACUCAUCCUCUCCCUCAGACCCAAGGAAAUAAUGCAUUUCGCAUAUACACCGGCUACCUUGCCUCAUUCUCCUUUGUUCAUUAAAGAACUUGACAUACUUCUA